rnacentral:rRNA from 1 species
GUACAUGACUACAACAUAGCAUUAAUUCAUCGGAUCCCAUUAGAACUCCGUAGUUAAGCACGCUCGGGCUAGGGCCUCACUGGGAUGGGUGACCGCCCCAGAAGUCCUAGUAUCUUACAUG